UACGGAGGGUGCAACCGUUGCUCGGAAUCAUUGGGCGUAAAGCGCACGUAGGCGGACCGCUAAGUCGGAUGUGAAAGCCCUCGGCUUAACCGAGGAAGUGCAUUCGAAACUGACGGUCUUGAGUAUGGAAGAGGGUCGCGGAAUUCCCGGUGUAGAGGUGAAAUUCGUAGAUAUCGGGAGGAACACCAGUGGCGAAGGCGGCGACCUGGGCCAAUACUGACGCUGAGGUGCGAAAGCGUGGGGAGCAAACAGG
rnacentral:rRNA from 1 species